rnacentral:rRNA from 1 species
UACGUAGGGUGCGAGCGUUGUCCGGAAUUACUGGGCGUAAAGGGCUUGUAGGUGGCCAACUAAGUCAGACGUGAAAUCCCUCGGCUUAACCGGGGAACUGCGUCUGAUACUGGAUGGCUGGAGUGUGGGAGAGGGAUGCGGAAUUCCAGGUGUAGCGGUGAAAUGCGUAGAUAUCUGGAGGAACACCGGUGGCGAAGGCGGCGUCCUGGACCAACACUGACACUGAUGAGCGAAAGCCAGGGGAGCAAACGGG